rnacentral:rRNA from 1 species
ACGGAAGGCAGCAGUGGGGAAUAUUGCACAAUGGGCGAAAGCCUGAUGCAGCGACGCCGCGUGAGUGAAGAAGUAUCUCGGUAUGUAAAGCUCUAUCAGCAGGGAAGAAAAUGACGGUACCUGACUAAGAAGCCCCGGCUAACUACGUGCCAGCAGCCGCGGUAAUACGUAGGGGGCAAGCGUUAUCCGGAUUUACUGGGUGUAAAGGGAGCGUAGACGGUUUGGCAAGUCUGAAGUGAAAUGCGGGGGCUCAACUCCUGAACUGCGUUGGAAACUGUCGAACUAGAGUGCAGGAGAGGUAAGUGGAAUUCCUAGUGUAGCGGUGAAAUGCGUAGAUAUUAGGAGGAACACCAGUGGCGAAGGCGGCUUACUGGACUGUAACUGACGUUGAGGCUCGAAAGCGUGGGGAGCAAACAGGAUUAGAUACCCUGGUA